AGGAUAGCCAAGCAGUCCAGGGUGCUGUGUUCAGGUUGCAGUCUCCCCUGGAGGUGUGGGUUUGAAUCCCACUGCUGA
rnacentral:tRNA from 1 species